GACGAACGCUGGCGGCGUGCUUAACACAUGCAAGUGGAGCGACGAACCAGGGCUUGCCCUGGGGCAGAGCCGCGAACGGGUGAGUAACGCGUGGGUAACGUGCCCCGAUGACUGGGACAACCCGGGGAAACCCGGGCUAAUACCGGAUGUGCCCCCUCACAUCAGUGAGGUGUGUAAAGGAAGCUUCGGCCUCCGCAUCGGGAUCGGCCCGCGGCCCAUUAGCUUGUUGGUGAGGUAACGGCUCACCAAGGCUGCGAUGGGUAGCUGGUCUGAGAGGACGAUCAGCCACACUGGGACUGAGACACGGCCCAGACUCCUACGGGAGGCAGCAGUGGGGAAUCUUGCGCAAUGCGCGAAAGCGUGACGCAGCAACGCCGCGUGGGGGAAGACGGCCUUCGGGUUGUAAACCCCUUUCAGUUGGGACGAAGGUCGGGCGGUUAACAGCCGUUCCGGCUGACGGUACCUUCACAAGAAGCCCCGGCUAACUACGUG
rnacentral:rRNA from 1 species